rnacentral:rRNA from 1 species
UACGGGGGGGGCAAGCGUUGUUCGGAAUUACUGGGCGUAAAGGGCUCGUAGGCGGCCAACUAAGUCAGACGUGAAAUCCCUCGGCUUAACCGGGGAGCUGCGUCUGAUACUGGAUGGCUUGAGUUUGGGAGAGGGAUGCGGAAUUCCAGGUGUAGCGGUGAAAUGCGUAGAUAUCUGGAGGAACACCGGUGGCGAAGGCGGCAUCCUGGACCAACACUGACGCUGAGGAGCGAAAGCCAGGGGAGCAAACGGGG